rnacentral:misc_RNA from 1 species
GAUGAAGAACGUAGCGAAAUGCGAUAAGUAAUGUGAAUUGCAGAAUUCAGUGAAUCAUCGAAUCUUUGAACGCACAUUGCGCCCCUUGGUAUUCCAUGGGGCAUGCCUGUUCGAGCGUCAUUUGUACCUUCAAGCUCUGCUUGGUGUUGGGUGUUUGUCUCGCCUCUGCGUGUAGACUCGCCUCAAAACAAUUGGCGGCCGGCGUAUUGAUUUCGGAGCGCAGUACAUCUCGCGCUUUGCACUCAUAACGACGACGUCCAAAAGUACAUUUUUACACUCUUGACCUCGGAUCAGGUAGGGAUACCCGCUGAACUUAAGCAUAUCAAUAAGCGGAGGA